AACGAACGCUGGCGGCGUGGAUAAGACAUGCAAGUCGAACGAUUACUAUUGGGUAGCAAUAUUCGGUAGUGAGAGUGGCGCAAGGGUGCGUAACACGUGGGUAAUUUGCCGUGAAGUCUGGAAUAACUUGCUGAAAGGCGAGCUAAUACCGGAUGUGAUUUCUGGAAGGCAUCUUCUGGAACUUAAAGUCGGGGAUCGUAAGACCUGACGCUUCUCGAUAAGCCCGCGGCCUAUCAGCUAGUUGGGUGAGGUAACGGCUCACCAAGGCUAAGACGGGUAGCUGGUCUGAGAGGACGACCAGCCACACUGGAACUGAGACACGGUCCAGACACCUACGGGUGGCAGCAGUCGAGAAUUUUUCUCAAUGGGGGAAACCCUGAAGGAGCGACGCCGCGUGGGGGAUGAAUGGCUUCGGCCCGUAAACCCCUGUCAUUUGCGAUCAAACCUUACGACCUAACACGUCGUAAGCUGAUAGUAGCGGAAGAGGAAGGGACGGCUAA
rnacentral:rRNA from 1 species